GAUGAACGCUGGCGGCGUGCCUAAUACAUGCAAGUCGAGCGAAUGGAUUAAGAGCUUGCUCUUAUGAAGUUAGCGGCGGACGGGUGAGUAACACGUGGGUAACCUGCCCAUAAGACUAGGAUAACUCCGGGAAACCGGGGCUAAUACCGGAUAACAUCUUGAACCGCAUGGUUCGAAAUUGAAAGGCGGCUCCGGCUGUCACUUAUGGAUGGACCCGCGUAGCAUUAGCUAGUUGGUGAGGUAACGGCUCACCAAGGCAACGAUGCGUAGCCGACCUGAGAGGGUGAUCGGCCACACUGGGACUGAGACACGGCCCAGACUCCUACGGGAGGCAGCAGUAGGGAAUCUUCCGCAAUGGACGAAAGUCUGACGGAGCAACGCCGCGUGAGUGAUGAAGGCUUUCGGGUCGUAAAACUCUGUUGUUAGGGAAGAACAAGUGCUAGUUGAAUAAGCUGACACCUUGACGGUACCUAACCAGAAAGCCACGGCUAACUACGUGCCAGCCGCCGCAGUAA
rnacentral:rRNA from 1 species